rnacentral:rRNA from 1 species
UGCAGCUCAAGUGGUGGCCGCUAUUAUUGGGCCUAAAACGUCCGUAGCCGGUUCUAUAAAUGCCUGGGUAAAUCGUACGGCUUAACCGUACGAAUUCCGGGUAGACUGUUUAACUUGGGACCGGGAGAGGCUAGAGGUACUCCUGGGGUAGAGGUGAAAUUCUGUAAUCCUAGGGGGACCACCAGUGGCGAAGGCGUCUAGCUAGAACGGGUCUGACGGUGAGGGACGAAGCCCUGGGGAGCAAACGG